CGCUUUACAAAUAUCUCAAGAUAAAGAUUUAUUGCAGUCGCCUUGUGCAGUUAGAAGAAAACGGCGACGAUGUAAAGUGCGACGAGAUCGAGACGACGCCGGAGGUUACGGACCUCGAAGACCCGUUGCAAGCACACGUCAACGGGGCGGUGGGAACUCUCAAGGUGUGCGAACGAGGAGUGCUGCAUGAAGAAGAUGAAGACGCAUUCUUCCCGAAAUGGGGGGGGGGGAGGGGGGCUGUGGCUGCAGUUCGAUGUGCCCAUGACGGGGAAGCUCGCUCGUCUCCGACCGCAAGACGGGCGUUGCGUGCAAACGAAGACAGUUCCCCCUCGUGCCGGCCAGGGCCAUAACGGUACACAAGUCGCAGAGAGGAACGUACUCGUCCAUCGUGUAUGAGUACAGCAAGACGCGCCCGCAGAAGCUCGUGUACGUUGCUCUCAGCCGCUGCACCAACGUCAACAACCUAUACCUGACCAACGCUAAGGGAGACCAUCGCUUCCAUCACAAGGACAGCGAUGAAGACAAGGGUAUGCUCAGUGAGUUUCGACGUCUCGAGCAGCACAGGUUGCUGACGCUUACACAAUGGUACCUUCGAGCCUUGCAAGAAGACGUCGACCACUCGACCGAGUUUACCCACGUCCUACUCAACACCCGAUCUCUCCGUGCCCAUGCAAAAGACAUUGAGAGAGAUCCCAUACUGACCGCGGCCGACGUACUCUGCUUCACGGAGACUGUGGAACUCUGGAAACAUGUACAUCAAUGAAUUCAUUCCAAUCGUCUGCACCGAAUAAGCAAAGCGUCCGGCCGGCGGUGUUGGAAUCUACGUCAAGCUGCCAGAUACAGCGGAGGAUCUCCACCUACCGCUCACCAACCAGAUCCGCAACGGGGAGCACGCCGCCGUGAAGCUCUCCAACGGGAUCGUCGUCAAGAAUAUGUACCUGGCACCUAACCUGUCCAAGGGAAACAUCGUCACGUACAUCGAGAAGAUUUUGAACGGUGCUCUGGCAGGUGAACAAGCUUUGACCGCGCUUGCAAUCACUGCGCUUGAGUGUGAACAAGAUAAAGACAUUGAAGAAGAGGCUGACCUUUGCGCUGUCGAAACAGACAUUGAAGGCUCAGGAAGUGACGAUGAAUCUGCUUCCUACCCGGCUUGUGGUCACAAAGAACCGAAGACAUCGUCCAAAUACGUGCAAGCGGAUUUGACGAAAGCCUAUGCACAAAAGGCCACAAUGACAACAGGUCUACACAGAACCUGUGGUGCUCAGACAGAUGAGUAGCUUUCAGCCAGUGCUUGUCUGCAGUUGCACACCAAUCAUGGAUUGAGCACCACACUAUGACUAGACUUCACCUUGCCCAGAGUACGGAAACACAAGUGACACCAUCAAGUGCCUGCAAGCAUGGAUACGAUUUCAGAGAUGCGAUCCUGUUCACAAGUUCAAGCCCCCCCCCCCCCAAAAAAAAAGCACUGCGCCUAGCAUUGGUGCAAUUCACCAUUGGUGUGGCGAAGCUUCAGCUCUACUUCGUCAUUCAGGCUACCCUGUGGUUUCCAUCUGUGCACAAGAACUGAGGCACCUAACAAGUGAAGCCUCUGGACAGCCACUCAGUCUGGCAGGAGGUGGCAGAUACGACUGUCCAAGGUUCAGUGCCAAGUAUCUGAUGUGCACAUCGACGGACACUAACCACGACAUCAUCUUGCAUACAGAGCUUGUGCAGGGACUUCAGCGCCCUGGAAGUCGACACUGUUCCCUCGGAUGCCCACCCAGGACGUCAACCCUGAUCACCCAAAAAAAGCCGAACAGCGCACAGACCCACCCGAGAUUUUGGCAACAGGAAAACCACCACUUCCACCGUUGCACUGUUACAACAGUCGGAGCGGAGCGCCUACACAGAAACGACAGUCAGAGCAGUGUCUUCGAACUGACUCAAGAACACAAAAGGUUCGCCCCAGCUCAGACACACAUGGUCUCAGUCAUAUCUAUCAGUCAUAAAAACAAUUGUGAAGCAUAUGCAAUAUAAGCAACACAACAAACAGUUAUCUAAAUACCUCUCUUGCCGAGUUGCACCGAAAUGACUGCGCCUAGCUUGCACUCCCUCUACGUCCACUCUCAAGUAAGCAUAAAAAAGAGGUGUAAAAAAAUUUAACUGACGAUUCUUUGAAACUAACACAAGUCAUUGCAGACCAUAGUAUGCGUAAGGUCGCCAAACUAAUUGUAGCCGAGACAUCACAGAAAUAGUUGUCGAAUCUUGGUGACCAUGAAACAAGUGAGCUGAAAAAGUAUGAGGCAAAAAAAAAAGAAGAAAUUUCAAAAGAAAAGUACCAAAAAUUUGACUGGAAUAGCAAUUUGCAUGCCGGAAGUAGCAACUGUUUUCCAAAAGAUGGUCAGACACCUACUUGACUGCCCACUAUAACUAAGGAGAGUAAAGAUGUUUGAAAACAAAAACAGCAAGAUUUCGACUGGCAGCAGUAUCCCCAUUACGAUCCCGCACUCUGGAGGUAGUGAUCUCUUUCCACAUGAUACUCAAGUGCCUUAUCUAGUACAGCGCUAACAGUCGAUAAGCUCGAACUUCUGUCGAGGGGCUUGACAUUUCGUCCACCAUUUGAUACAUUCAAUGAAUUCGAACUUUACCAGACCCUUGAUAACUUUGCACAUAAUCUUCUCCUCUGAGUAUUCUUCCACAUCUGCGAAAAAAAUUUCAGCUAAGAAAACAUUGCUUGGCUCGUACAAAUCAUGGAAUCCAAGUGAGCAGAGGAACGAGCACCUUGACAUGUAUGUAGUAUCAGCGUUCCAAAAAAGAUAUAAUCGAAGCAUAUGCCAAAAGCAGGCCAAUCCACAACAGCUUAUCAAAUGCAGAACAGCGGGCACUCGAAGAGCUCUGCAGUGCCGCCAACAUUACGAACAAGCCAGAAGGGGGAUGCAUAGUUAUUCUUAACACGUCCGAGUGCUUAAGAGGAAGCUUAAGCUUAUCGCGGGAUUGAAUCCCGGCCGCGGUGGCCGCGUUUCGAUGGAGGCGAAAUGCAAAAACGCCCGUGUGCUUGCGUUGUCGUGCACGUUAAAGAACCCCAGGUGGUAAAAAUUAAUCCGGAGCCCUCCACUACGGCGUGCCUCAUAAUCAGAACUGAUUUUGGAACGUAAAACCCCAGAAAGAAGAAGAAGCUUGGGCCCAACUCCAAUGCUGCCUAUUCAAAGUACAUGUAAAACGCAGAAACACUUUUCUGAGAUAACCACUGGGCCGAUUUUAAUGAAAUUUGUUGCAUUUAAUAAAUAAAGUUAAAUUGUAGUGUCUGUUGGACGCAGAAUUUUUAUUCAUGACCUGAAUUUUUUAAAAGGAAUUUUUAUAAAUUGGUAAGCUCGAAAAAAAAUUAAAGCACUAAGUUUACAAAUUUGUAGCUGCGUGCCAAAAAACAGGUGUCACAGAUGUGUAAACUGCAUCUGUUAGGACAUAUAAAGUGGACAAUUUGAUAUAUAAAUUUGUCUUAGAUGACUUUGUUACAUUGUUUACAAGGGUGUUGCAAAAGUCAUACUCACAUAUUAGUGGUCUGUUUAAGAUGCAUGUAUAAUGCGUCAGUAUUAUCUGCUUUAGAUGUACUAUUAUAUGCAAUUUACAGAAUUGUGAUAUUUUUUAUUGCUGACUUACAUAGUUGUAAACUUUAUGGUUUCACCUUCUGAAAAUUUGGAAUUUUCAGCAAUAUUUACUAAAAAAUUGACGGCCUAAAUUAAAAAUUAAUUGCUACAGUCACUAGAUAUUAACUUUUUCUUUUAAAUGCAAAAAACUUUAUCAACUUUGGGGCUGUGGUUGCCAAGAGAAACGGAUUUCUCCUUUCCUGUGUCUUUAGAUAGGAGCCUCUGAACUAAAGAGUUAUAUUAAAGGACGGGGAUGGCAACUAUUGGACACAAAAUUCUACAGGGAGCUUCCCAACAAUCCCACCUCCGAGUUUAAAAAUGGUAAAAGAGAAACCCUGUUGACUCUCUGUUGGGCUGAACUAAUAAGCAGGAGAAUGCUAAAAGCGAUGUUGGCAGCUCACUCUGUUCCUGGUUGCUUUCAUCUGCUCCCAAAGAUGCACACACCAGGCAGUCCAGGCCAUCCGAUAGUAUCCAGCAACAAUACAUCAACGGAAAAUGUAUUGGAAUUUAUUAACUACCUAAUAGAAGGCAUCCCAGCGAUAUUCCCCUCUUACCUGAAGGACACAAACCACUUCAUAAGCGAAAUAUCUGACCUCAGCAUCCCAGUCAAUAGCUUUCUGAUGACCAUGGACGUCGGCUUUCUUUGCACAAACAUUCCUCACCGUGAUGGAAUAGCAGCAACGGUGUCCGCAGAUGAAAAAUCUGGCCCCUCGGCGGAUGUAGGUGGUGAGGGUUUGUCGCUCUUCUGGCUCGUACUAAAUCAUAACCGUUUUGAAUUCACUGACAAGCACUUCAGGUCAGCGGCACUGCAGUGGGUACAAGAAUGGCCCAGAAUGUUGUGAGUGUCUUCAUGGCUUCUCUUGAAAUUCUAUUUUUUGAAGAAUGCGCUCUAAAGGUUCUUUGACAUAUUUCUCAUGUGGAACCAUCAUGAAGAAAGCCUCCAUAAUUUCUUAUCGCAUUAUGAUGCGCUCCACUUAUUGAUAAAGCUCACCCAUAGAAUUUCCAAAACUAGUAUCCACUUCUUGGACGUCAGUGUUUCACUGGAAAACGACCGCCUGUCGACAAACCUUUACAGAAAGCCUACGGUCCGGCAGCAAUAUCUACACUUUGAAAGCCACUACCCUUGUAAACGGACAUCCUAUACUCUCAAGCUUACAGGUACUGCAGAAUUUGUUCCGACAUCGAGGAAUUUGACAAACACACCAAAUAUUUAAUGCGUGCCCUAUCGCACCAAAAUUAUCUAGAAUACAUCAUUGACGAUGCCAUAGCACAUACUCGUGGCAUGAACCGCAAUUACAUAAGCAACGAACCAAGAUCCGUACUUGACGCUUCCUCCCAAACAAACCUUAUACUAACCUAGUCAUUGCCACGGCUGAACAACACACUUUCCCGACAUUUUAAUAUAAACAGGCAAAGUGACUGAUUGACCUAUAUUUUCAUGGGGAACCACCGCACGUGGUGUAUUGUUGUGUAUCCUGACGAAGAGAGUUCCACUCUCAAAACUGUUGGCAUAAAUAAACUAAGUUUUUGUAUACG